rnacentral:siRNA from 1 species
CGGAUAUCUCGGCUCUCGCAU